rnacentral:rRNA from 1 species
GAUGAACGCUGGCGGCGUGCCUAAUACAUGCAAGUCGAGCGAACGGACGAGAAGCUUGCUUCUCUGAUGUUAGCGGCGGACGGGUGAGUAACACGUGGAUAACCUACCUAUAAGACUGGGAUAACUUCGGGAAACCGGAGCUAAUACCGGAUAAUAUUUUGAACCGCAUGGUUCAAAAGUGAAAGACGGUCUUGCUGUCACUUAUAGAUGGAUCCGCGCUGCAUUAGCUAGUUGGUAAGGUAACGGCUUACCAAGGCAACGAUGCAUAGCCGACCUGAGAGGGUGAUCGGCCACACUGGAACUGAGACACGGUCCAGACUCCUACGGGAGGCAGCAGUAGGGAAUCUUCCGCAAUGGGCGAAAGCCUGACGGAGCAACGCCGCGUGAGUGAUGAAGGUCUUCGGAUCGUAAAACUCUGUUAUUAGGGAAGAACAUAUGUGUAAGUAACUGUGCACAUCUUGACGGUACCUAAUCAGAAAGCCACGGCUAACUACGUGCCAGCAGCCGCGGUAAUACGUAGGUGGCAAGCGUUAUCCGGAAUUAUUGGGCGUAAAGCGCGCGUAGGCGGUUUUUUAAGUCUGAUGUGAAAGCCCACGGCUCAACCGUGGAGGGUCAUUGGAAACUGGAAAACUUGAGUGCAGAAGAGGAAAGUGGAAUUCCAUGUGUAGCGGUGAAAUGCGCAGAGAUAUGGAGGAACACCAGUGGCGAAGGCGACUUUCUGGUCUGUAACUGACGCUGAUGUGCGAAAGCGUGGGGAUCAAACAGGAUUAGAUACCCUGGUAGUCCACGCCGUAAACGAUGAGUGCUAAGUGUUAGGGGGUUUCCGCCCCUUAGUGCUGCAGCUAACGCAUUAAGCACUCCGCCUGGGGAGUACGACCGCAAGGUUGAAACUCAAAGGAAUUGACGGGGACCCGCACAAGCGGUGGAGCAUGUGGUUUAAUUCGAAGCAACGCGAAGAACCUUACCAAAUCUUGACAUCCUUUGACGACUCUAGAGAUAGAGCCUUCCCCUUCGGGGGACAAAGUGACAGGUGGUGCAUGGUUGUCGUCAGCUCGUGUCGUGAGAUGUUGGGUUAAGUCCCGCAACGAGCGCAACCCUUAAGCUUAGCUGCCAUCAUUAAGUUGGGCACUCUAAGUUGACUGCCGGUGACAAACCGGAGGAAGGUGGGGAUGACGUCAAAUCAUCAUGCCCCUUAUGAUUUGGGCUACACACGUGCUACAAUGGACAAUACAAAGGGCAGCGAAACCGCGAGGUCAAGCAAAUCCCAUAAAGUUGUUCUCAGUUCGGAUUGUAGUCUGCAACUCGACUACAUGAAGCUGGAAUCGCUAGUAAUCGUAGAUCAGCAUGUUACGGUGAAUACGUUCCCGGGUCU